rnacentral:rRNA from 1 species
CCUACGGGAGGCAGCAGUGAGGAAUAUUGGUCAAUGGGCGCGAGCCUGAACCAGCCAAGUAGCGUGAAGGAUGACUGCCCUACGGGUUGUAAACUUCUUUUAUAAAGGAGUAAAGUGAGGUUAGUGUGCCUUUUUGUACGUACUUUAUGAAUAAGGAACGGCUAACGACGUGCCAGCAGCCGCGGUAAUACGGAGGAUCCGAGCGUUAGCCGGAUUUAUUGGGUUUAAAGGGAGCGUAGAUGGGUUGUUAAGUUAGUUGUGAAAGUGUGCGGCUCAACCGGGGAAGUGCAAUUGAUACUGGGAGUCUUGAGUGCAGUUGAGGUGAGCGGAAUUCGAGGUGUAGCGGUGAAAUGCGUAGAUAUCACGAAGAACUCCGAUGGCGAAGGCAGCUUACUAAACUGCCACUGACGUUGAGGCUCGAAAGUGUGGGUAGCAAACAGGAUUAGAUACCCGAGUAGUC